ensembl:lncRNA
UUCCACUAGCCAAGUGGGAGAUUUGAGGGCUCCGAGAAGGCUGAUAAUGAAGCACACAGCUGAUGGAAAACGGCUGUAGAUGGUUUGAAGACUAAUUGGAAUAGCUGGUCUGAUCAUGAAACACACAGCUGAUGGGAAAACGGCUGUAGAUGGUUUGAAGACUAAUUGGAAUGGCUGGAGUCUGGAGUGUCCUGCCAUCGUGGAGAACUUCUGAGUGACUGUCGGUAAGCUUCUUGGGUAAAAUGGCACUUCUAUAAACAAUUUUGUGAUUCAUGAAAUAUGCCAAGCUGUUUUUGUUUACUUCUGAUUAAAAAUGGUUUGUUCAUUCCAAAAUCCAUGGGUGUUUGUUUUUUUCUUUAGCUCAGAAAUUCAUGAUUCAAACAAGUAUUGCACUAAAACGACUUCAAAUUGCUUGGAUAAUGUGAUGCUCUACCCAGCUUGACAUAGAUUACUGUAGUGUUCAAAAUGGAGGGAGGUAGGAAUGGGUAUUUUUAAUAUAUUUUUAUAUAAAUACACUUAAUACCAAAUGGUUACCUUGAAAUGCUGCAAUAUGCUCUUUCAGUGUUAAAUGAUAUCAUGAAUCACCUCACUAAAGCGGCCUAAUUGUUUCUGAGUUGACAAGUAGUUUCCACUUAUGAACAAACAUACUUAAGAAAUACUAUAUUGAAAAUAAAGGCCUCAUAGUAGUAACUCGAUGCAAUAAAAGUGAAAUCCUGUGAGCACUGA